UGUUCGAGUGUCAGUGUGCGUAAGUGUGUAGGGCUCUGUGAGUGUGGUCAACUCUGAUUGUGGUCAACUCUGAGUCCGUGUAGCCAUUUUGUGUGUGUGCGUCUGCUGCUUAGUCUGUUCCCAGGCUGCUCAGUGUCAGAUGUGCUGUCCAGUGAGACGGCCAGAAUGGUUAAAGCCCAGCUGAUGGACAACAUCCAGGCCUGCAAACACUGCAUCCUCCGUGCUAAAGUCUGAAUCUGCAGCGGGCUUGACAAGAUGACCCUGUCACAUGACACAGACACCCAAUCUGACAGCCAAUCCUCAGAGGAACAGUCUGACCAGAUGGCGGAGCCGCUUAAAGCCUCUGUGGCACCGCAGUACGUGUACAAGCAGAUCGUCAGGAUCAACCAGCAGGUGAAGCGAGCAGUGCGAUUGGCCCUUGAACGGUGAUAGCCUCUGCAGUAUGAUGGGUCCAGUCUGGCCCCCACCCGCACAGUGGAACAGGAGCAGUCUGCACUGGUCUCUAAGGACAGGCUGUACCACUGUAGGAAGUUUGGGGGGUUUGGAGUGAAUUCCACAUAAGCAGCAACACUAUGGUGUUUACUACUCUUAGGGUGACAUGGUGGAGUGUGGCCAUAGUGCUUUAGCUUGAGGUUGUCAUGGCACAAUACUGUUCUCAAAUCCAAUAGGUGUCAGUAGAGGCCCAGUUUUCCUUAGUUCCACCUCACCUGUUUGGAUGUACAGUAAUUUAUCCAUUAGUCUAGAUUGUCAGGGCUCAAUGACUUUCUAAUGGGAUUGUUUUGUAUUGUUUAUGUCCAUGACUAUGAUUGACAGGCAAAUGGAGACAUGUAAAGGGCGUAUGACAAAAAGGAAAAGGUGUGCCAGUUAGAUGAAGGCAGUUCAAUGAUAUGACAGAUAGAAAUGAUGGAGAAGCUGUAGCUAUUUUGUAUACGUUCUAUUCCCUUGAGAAUUUAGUUGAAUGGCAAAGGUAUUGUGCCAUGGACCAUUUGUAUUCUCAACAUUACAGUACAUCUUUAUUUUUAACAAGAUUAUUUAGCUGUGUAAAUUUGUCUGAAAAUGAAGUU